GGAAGUAGGCCAGAGUGGGUCCAUGACUAGUUACCAGAGGCUUGAGCCCAGGCCAGAGAGGAAGUGUAACAGAACAGACUAUGCAGAAGCAAUGUCAUUGCAGGGAAUCAUUGUAUCAGCACUGAANNNNNNNNNCCCAGAAUACUGGACUAAGGAUCAGGCAAGGCGAAGACAGUGCUGUGAUCUUAUGGGAGGCAUAAAGAACAACAAUAUGCAGAUUAGGAUUAGAAAAUGCA
rnacentral:misc_RNA from 1 species